AAAUUGAAGAGUUUGAUCAUGGCUCAGAUUGAACGCUGGCGGCAGGCCUAACACAUGCAAGUCGAACGGUAACAGGAAGCAGCUUGCUGCUUUGCUGACGAGUGGCGGACGGGUGAGUAAUGUCUGGGAAACUGCCUGAUGGAGGGGGAUAACUACUGGAAACGGUAGCUAAUACCGCAUAACGUCGCAAGACCAAAGAGGGGGACCUUCGGGCCUCUUGCCAUCGGAUGUGCCCAGAUGGGAUUAGCUAGUAGGUGGGGUAACGGCUCACCUAGGCGACGAUCCCUAGCUGGUCUGAGAGGAUGACCAGCCACACUGGAA
rnacentral:rRNA from 1 species